GGGUCCACUCAUCUCCAGGCCACUGGAAAUUCAGUAUUAGGGUGCGGAAGUAGCUCAGGGUCACUUCCCAGGAUGCCUGCUUCUAAUGGCAUUGCCACAAGGUUGGGAGACUCCUGUCAGCUUAUUCAGGAACAACCCAUUUGCUCCCAGGGGCCUGGUUCUUACAUGCCAAUUUACAAAAUGUUGCCUAACAGACCAAGACCAAGUUGGGAAAUCAUCAAUUUUUACUGAUACAUAGAUCUCUAAAAGAGUUCCAUCAAAGCUCUUGUUGGCAGAUUAAUACAUUCUCCUUACAUUUUUUAAAGAUUUAUUUAUUUAUUUGAAAGUCAGAGUUACACAGAGUGAGGAGAGGCAGAGGGGGAGAGAGAGAGAGAGAGAAAGAGAGAGAGAGAGAGAGAGAGAGAGAGAGAGGUCUUCCAUUCCGUUGGUUCACUCCUCAAAUGGCCGCAACGGCCGGAGCUGUGCCGAUCCAAAGCCAGGAGCCAGGAGCUUCUUCCAGGUCUCCCACAUGGGUGCAGGGGCCCAAGUGUCAUCUUCUACUGCUUUCCCAGGCCAUAGCAGAGAGCUGGAUAGGAAGUGGAGCGGCCGGGUCUCGAACUGGAGCCCAUAUUGGAUGCCGGUGCUUCGUAACCCCCUGCGACACAGUGCUGGCCCCAGAUUAAUACAUUCUCUUCUCAGUAUGAGACUGUAUUUGAGAAGCUAAAUUGCUAUCAGUCUGCUGCCCAGUGAGUUGUGAGUUAAUGAAGAAGUUAGAGGUACAAGUUACAAUCACUCAACGUGCCCACUUUAACCCAAGGGAGUGCAGAGCAGGAUGGGCAGAGUGGCCUGCUCUCCACCGCAGUGGCCACACACUGACGUACAUUGACAGCUCCUUCCUCCUUUUCCAGGUGUUACAACUUCUGCUGUGGCAUUCCGUUCCUAUCACAGGUGCCACGAAUGGGGUGCAACUGACCAGCACCUGCACAGAACGACCCAGAACUCCUGCUCUGUGGUUCAUCCAUCAGCCCUCCAGGUCUAAGCCCCAUCUCUGCCUGUCUUCCUAAUAAACGCCUUGCAAAAGCUGUCUGAGCAGUCAGGUUUGAGCACUGCUCGGGACUCCUUCCUUGGUUGGUUGCCCUGUAAAACACUUCUCUCUGAAAAGGACCAGUGCUUCAGCAAAUGACUCUCCAACGCAUGCGGGCGACUGAGCCCACACUGGUCUGAUAACACUCCUAGAUCGUGUUUGACCAAGCAUUGGUCAAAUCUGAAUUUGAGGCGGGAUGUCAUAGAGCUUCCUAUUGCCGUGUCACAGUGUAUCACAAAGUUGGCAGCGAACUACGACAGCCAUUCACUGGCUCACAGUCUCACAGGUCAGAAGUCAGGGCAAGGUGCGCCUGGAUUCUUUGCUCAGGGUGUCACAAAGCCAAAAUCCAUGUGUGGCCCAGGCUGCGUUCCCAUCUGGAGCGCAGGGUCCUACGCCAAGUUCAUGCAGGCUGUUGACAGAGUUCAGUUCCUUGUGUGAUGGGUCUGAGUCCGUGCUGUCUUGUUGGGGGAGUACCCUUGGCUCCCAUGUGCUGCUGUCAGGUACCCACCCAUCUUCACAGCCAGCAACAGAAUCGCCCUUGCAUUGAAUCCCUUUCAUGGGUCAACCCUCUGUCCCUGGCCUUUCUAUGCAGAAUUAAAAGGCUCGCAUGGUUAGGUCGCUCCAUCCAGAUGAUUUUCCUUUCAAUCAGGUCAAAGCCAACUGAUUAGCAGCCUUAAUUACACCUGCAAGGUCUCUCGUGCCAUCUACUAUGAGGCAAUCAACCACA
ensembl:lncRNA